ensembl:rRNA 5S_rRNA 5S ribosomal RNA
GGCCACAGCCAUAUCACCCUGCAGCCCAAGACCAGCUACUCACUGAAGCUGAGCAGGACUGAGCCCGGUUAGUACCUGGAUGGGAGACCACAUGGGAAAACUAGGUUGCUGUUGGAA